AGCAAUUUGUAGAGAAGCAGAAGAAUGCAGUCAGAUUAUAAAGUUAUGGAAGAAGAUCUCGAAUAUGAUAAAAUAAGUAGAGUAUUCAAAAGUGAUAUUGAGUUUGAAGAAGAAUUGGAAAAGAAUGAAGUUUUUCUUAGUUACUUUAAUACUUUUCUUUCUUUACCUGUAUUUGGUGUGAAAAUAACAUUUAAUGAAAAAAAAAAACUUUUUGACGUUGAAAUUGCAACAAUACAGAAAAAGUCUUUAAUUUUUCGGCACCAUCAGAUCUUAACAUGGAUUCGAAACUAUCGUGCUCCUCUGUUUUUGAAAGCAGCAAUAUACAAUGAAUACAAACUUUGUUAUUUACUAGCUGCCUCACCAGUGGUUGCAAAACAAGAUUUUAUAUCACAUGAGGACUUUGUUAUUUUCCAAAGAAAUCAUCUGAAUAAAAUUUCAAGUAUUCAAAGGUUCAAGCAAUAUCUAGCUGGGUCUGUUGGAGAAAAUCUCAUUGAGUUUUGGUUAGAUGCUGAAAGAUAUAGAUGGCAGACACUGGAAAAAAAUCGAAUUUUUUAUAUUAAAGAAGUUGAAGAAAAGUUUAUCAACCAAUAUUCUUUAUCAAAGUUAAUACCUGAUUUAAAAGAUGCAAUGAAAAAGCAACUAAAUCAAAUAUUUGAUUUAAGUAACAAAGUAAACUUGCCUAUAAAGUCUACACUGUUUGUUCCAUUGCAGAAACAUGUGUUGGAGUGCAUUCAAAAAUACUGGAUACCCAAGUAUAUUCUACAUUGUUUUCUAACAAGAAAAGCUGUUCUGUCAAGAUGGAGAAAAGGAAAGAUCAGGAAAAAUUCAAAUAUUUUAAGUGUUAUCAACAAGUUAAAAGAAAUAAAAAAAAGGGAAGAUAAUCAUAAUACAAGAGUCCUACAAGAGGCUCCAAAGUUAGUUUUAAGUGACAAGCUGUCUCACCAUAAAUCUUUGCAUGAUACAGAAUCUUCAAGGCGAUUAAACAUAACAGCUGAAGAAAAUUUAAAACUAAUGAAUUUUAAAAAUAAUAGAAAUGAAUCCAACAAGAUUUUUGAAGAACAUAUAAGACUUCCUACAAUAACAUUGAAGCAAAGUAGUUUGAUAAAGAGCUGUAACAUUUUAAAGGAUGAAAGAACUCCUCUUAUUAAAAGGCUGGAAACCACAAGUAUGACUGUGCUGGCAAAGUUGGUUUGUACUCCUCCAAUCAACAAUAUUGCAUUACCCACAUUUUCAGGAUCAUUUGUUUAUAAAAAUAAACAAAUGGAAAUGCAAAAUAAGAAAGAACCUCUUGAUAGUCUUAUUGCUGCUUUAAAUACAGACUUCCUUGCUGGUCAGCCACUCUUAGAGUAUAUAGUUUCUAUUGGUGACAAACAAGCUGAGGCAAAUUAUAAGUUUUGGAUUGAAGUAAAUAAAACCUUUCAUAAUACUUUUUAUAAUGAAACAAUUUUUCGACAAAAGCAAUACCAAACAAUAAUCAAUUUGUUUUUGGCAAGCAAUGCUAGCUAUAACAUUUCUCUUUCAUCUUUGAAAAAGCAAGAAUUAUGCAGAUACCUAACUGAAGAUGGAGGAUUAGCAAUGUUAAUUGAAGCCAAUGAUCAAAUAGCACUUAAACUUUUGCCAAUAUGGGAAGCUUUUUGCAAAAGUGACAAAGAUUCGUUUUUUAAUGAUGUGAGCAUGCUAGACCAACUAGAAAAAAUUCAAGAUAUAGAAGAUAGUAGGUGCAGUAGUAACUUGAGAUCUACUCUUAACAGAAAUAAAUUUAAUAGUCGAAGAAUGUGGAAGGCUCUGGAACUUGCUUUAACUAUAUCUAAACCAAUAAAACAUCAGCUCUUUACCAUAUCUUCUUUAUCAAGUUCUGAUGAAGAUUCUGGAGAUGAUGAAUUAAGUAUGGAGCAAAAAUCUUUAAGGAGAAAUGAAUUGUUUUUAAUUAAUAAUGACUCUGCGUUAACUCAUAAAUAUAUGGAAUGGAAAAUUAGUUCUUCGAAGUUUGACAUCAAUGCAAUUAGUCAUGAUACAAAUAUUCAAGAACAGCAAUCUCAAGAAAUUUUGCUUGUCAAGCCUCAUAAACCAAGAAGUUUCCAUGAAAUUUUAAUGGAUUCAUUACAACUUGACUUUUUUAAACAAUACUUGACAAAAGAGAAAGAAGAAACUCCAUUAUUAUUUUGGAUUGCAGUGGAAUCUAUGAGAACAAAAAGUAAGGAUGCAAUGGUAAGGCAAGGAAAAACUCAGGCAAUUGUGAAAAGAUUUUUUGGAUCUGCUAAUCAAGGAAAAGAUUUAAAAUGUAAUGCAGAAGUUAUUAGUCAAAUACCAUUAGCUGAUAAGGUUACUCCAGCCAUGCUUAUUUCAGCUCAAGCAUGUGUAGCUAAAAGUUUAGAAGAAUCUUGGUAUAGUAGUUAUCUUGCAACUUUCAGUAAAGAUGACGAGACAGACAUAAAUAUACCUGUUUACAAUAAACACGGUAUAAGUGGAAAAUUCCAAAGUCUACGUGAAAAAACACUUGUUUAUUGGAGAAUGUUUGUUCGAAAUAUAACUGUUUUUACAAAAGGUAUUUCAAAUAAAGAUACAUUUCGAAUGUUUCGAGACUUUCUAAAGCUGCAAUACCUGAUGAGUGGAUCUUCUGUUGGUGACACAAACAAUUUUGCAUUAGACAAGAUUUCCUCCUCGGUUAUUGUCAUUAACCAUAAACAUGUCUUCAUAGAAAAACUUGUUGCAGACCUCUACUUUUAUUGUGAAGUUCAAAAAUACAGAGAUUUUAGUGAUGCAGUAGUUGAAUGUGCAAAGUUAGGGAACUAUUCAAAUGACGAUGAGUUGGUUGUUGUCAAGAAAGCUUAUGCAAUUAUAGACUGUUUUAUUAACUCUCUGGUUGCUCCAACCUUGCAAGUUUUGUACUUUUCGUUUUGUGCUUCCGAACUUGAUUCUGCCAAAAGAGAAGUCACAAAGAAAUGAUAGAUCUGCAAAAAUUGCUCUCAAGCAAGAAGCGCUAAAGUUGAAUAAGUUCAAAAAAGUUUCUCUUCCAGAAGACGAAGAUUGCUCAAAAAUAAUGUUUUCAUUGCAGUUCGGUUUACGAAUUGGCCGUGUUCGUGAAGGAAAGCGAGCAAAAAGCGAUAAAAAACUUUUCGAAGCAAAUUAAAAUUAUUUUAAAUUUCAACUUGUUAAAGUGUGUUGUUAUGAAAUAGAACGAACUCGACAACUU
rnacentral:misc_RNA from 1 species